GUGCCUACGGGGCGCAGCAGUGAGGAAUAUUGGUCAAUGGGCGGAAGCCUGAACCAGCCAAGUCGCGUAAGGGACUAAGGCCCUACGGGUCGUAAACCUCUUUUGCCGGGGAGCAAGGGCGGGGACGUGUCCCGGCCCGGAGAGUACCCGGAGAAAAAGCAUCGGCUAACUCCGUGCCAGCCGGCGCGGGAAUACGGAGGAUGCGAGCGUUAUCCGGAUUUAUUGGGUUUAAAGGGUGCGUAGGCGGGCUUUUAAGUCAGCGGUA
rnacentral:rRNA from 1 species